UACGGGGGGGGGCAAGCGUUGUUCGGAAUUACUGGGCGUAAAGGGCGCGUAGGCGGCCAACUAAGUCAGACGUGAAAUCCCUCGGCUUAACCGGGGAACUGCAUCUGAUACUGGAUGGCUUGAGUUCGGGAGAGGGAUGCGGAAUUCCAGGUGUAGCGGUGAAAUGCGUAGAUAUCUGGAGGAACACCGGUGGCGAAGGCGGCAUCCUGGACCGACACUGACGCUGAGGAGCGAAAGCCAGGGAGCAAACGGG
rnacentral:rRNA from 1 species